rnacentral:lncRNA from 1 species
AAGAGUCCUAAAGCAACCUGAGGAACAAUGCAAGAUACCCUGCAGGGUUAUCAGCCUCCUACAAGGGAGUCCCAGGCCCAUGACUCUUUCCAGAAAGAUUCUCCAUUCCUCAUUUUCCUCUAUGGCUACUAGUCAAUUUCUGAGGUUUGACUGAAUUAUCAAAUUCAAAUCUGCCCAGAUGUCAGUGUUAUCAUUUUCGUGUCUCCUGAUGGAAAUAUUCUUUGAUUGGUUACUAAGACCUCUAAACCAGCAGAGCCCAUAGUUGAGGAAAUGAGAAUGAAAAACUAUCUAAGUGGGUUAUUAGAUGUAAUAAUGAACGAUGUUAACACUCAUUUCUUUUCUUUUUUGAAACAGGGUCUUUCUCUGUCACCCAAGCUGGAGUGCAAUGGUGUAAUCAUAGCUCACUGCAGCCUCGACUCCUGGGCUCAACUCUCACUUCAGGCACGUACGUGUCUCACCCAAGGCAUCGAAAAUACCUGGGCAUGCUGGCUGUCAUCUGGAGGCAAUCAGAGAUGGUAAGAAUGCCCGGUAUAAAGAGAAUUGGCAACGGUAACUCCCUGUAGCAAGGUGGGUUCCCUGACAGAAGAGGAAAAGGAGGGAGAGCUGCAUUUGCUGGUCUAUUGCGCUUUGCUUAGAGAUCAACAGAGUGACAUCCUAGGGUCUGAGCCUCAACCCUCCAGGCCGCAAGCCUCCCACUUCCACUCCACCAACCUUGACUUGUGGAACAUGCAUCCUCCUGGGGAUAAACCUCUACCAAGAUGUUCUUGUAAGAGUGGCUGCAAGUGCCUGCAUCAGAACCUCAGGAAAGCUGAUAAAGUUGAAGAGUCCUUGCUUUCCUCACUUGGGAGGGGGUGCUGCUGCUGGCAUUUAAGAUGAUUCUGAUUCAUGCUACAGUCUGACAACCUACAAAGCUGCAUGGAAGAAAACUCUCUUCCACAUGGCCUGGAGAGACCUAAGCAUCCACGUGCUCACUGCUCUCAGUGCUCAGAGAAGAGAACACCUGGGAAAUUGUCUUUGAAUUAUAUAGAACAAGUUGUCCACUAAAUGAAUAACAUCUGGAAGCAUUCCAACCUGGUAAAGCCCCUUGAGUGUUGCCUAUGAUGUGGGUGCAUCUGAUUCCAGGUCAUAUGUGCAAUGCUCUGCUGCAGACACUUUAGCUUUCAGAUUUUGUGGAAUAUUGUUACAGGAACACAGGUCUAUGCAAUGAGGUCUUGUAGCUGCUUCCUAAGCUUUGCACAUCAAUCCAUCAGCUCUAACAUUCUGGACAAUAUUAUUGCUGGCUACAAUAGUACUAUUUAUAAUAGUUCAAAUGAAUCAGAUUGAUUUUCUCCUUGAACACUAGAAUAUUUACUCUGAAUCAUCAAGGGCAAAAGGUCAAUUCCCCUCAAAAAGAUCAUGCAACCCUCUCUAUCAGAGGAUAAACAAUUCUUCAAGUAUUGAGGAAAGAAAAAUGACUUUGGGCCAGGCAUGGUGGCUCACACCUAUAAUCCCAGCACUUUGGGAGGCCGAGGAGGGAGACCUCACUUGAGGUCAGGAGUUCGAGACCAGCCUCGGUAAUAUGGUGAAACCCCAUCUCUACUAAAAACACAAAAAUUAGCUGGGCAUGGUGGCAGGAGCCUGUAAUCCCAGCUAUUUGGGAGGCUGAGGCAGUAGAAUCACUUGAACCCGGGAGGUGGAGGUUGCAGUGAGCCACGAUUGCACUAUUGCACUCCAGCCUGGGUGACAGAGCGAGACUCCAUCUCAAAAAAAAAAAAGAAAAGAAAAAAAAAAGAAAAGUGACUUUGUCCAUUGGGUAGCCAAGCUUUCAUUUUGCUCAGUGACGGAGUCUAGUACUUAAGAUCCAUAUCAUAGCAACACAAAACUUCUAUUGAGGAUGUAGCUUUUCAUAUGCAUCAUUCCCUUCACUUCUCACAUUGGUGUCCACUGAGGCGUAGAGACACGGUACAGGAUACAAAUGGUGAUGCUGGAAAGUGAACCUAAGUCUGUCUGUACAAUCUACACACCUCACCACUGUGUGAUCAGCUAUAGGCUUAAUACUAGUGAGACAGGGAUGCUUACCUGUAUUUGUUCAUUAAUUUGUUCAAUAAAAAGGACUUUGUGUAAGGUUCUACAUGUGGUGCUUGGGACACAAAGUCAAGUAAUUUAUGAACCCUCCCUGCCCUUGCCAUUUCCAAUCUAAUGACAAACACAAAGAACUAAAGGGGCAA